rnacentral:lncRNA from 1 species
UUCGGGAGCCAAGCGGUACUCGACGGAGACAAUUAGGGCUUGGAGAGCCAGGGCCAUGCGAGAGCAGGAGUCGUGGAAUGGUUUGGAGGCGGCGGAGAAGAGGACGAAGCCGCCUCCGUGGAAGUAGAUGAUGAGAGGGAGGCGGGGGUUUGGGGGGAGAGGGUGGGGUUUGAAGAGCCUGAAGAAGGUUUUUGUUUCUGGGUUUAAGGGAAUGUCCUUGGAGAGGACGAGUUGGGGAGAGUUGGAGUCUGACUCGGCGGCCGUGGCGGAAAUGGACUCGGUGGGGGUGGGAGUUGGGGAGACGGUGGGGAAAGGGGUGAAGCGGGUGAGGGAGCCAUCAGGGUUGGGGAGGAUUUUGAGGAGUUUGUAGGGGUCAAUGGAGGUUGGGGAUGAAGAAGGUUGAUACGCCAUGGAUGUUGUUGAAACUCGCAGAUGAAGCGUUUGUGCAAAUGCUUAGCUGAAAGAAGAGGGUUUAUAAGUUUAUAUGUGGAAGACAAUGAGUGACGAGUGACGAGGUAAUAGUGGGAAAAAUGGUUAGGUGUUUGGUGAAGAAAAUUAAAGUGAAGACUUGGGGACUACCUGUUUUAGUUGCAUGCUAUUGAAUUCUCGACCUAAAAGUGAACUGAUUAAUUGAUUGGGAUUCAGUUGGGUUUGCACGCGGGUGGGGAUAUGUGUGUUAACAUCCAAAUUUCACAAGUAAGGAGUGAGGUGCUUAAAAAAAAAAAGCACCCAUAAAAAAAAAGUUGUGAAAGUUUUAGGUGUUUGGUAAACUGAAAAAAAAAAUACUUAUUUUGGAAGCUGCUGUGAGAAUAAGCUGAAAUCAAAGGAAAAAGCUGAAGCUGUUAUUUGUAGUUUUGGAAAACUGGCUUUUUUUCAAAGCACACGGAGCUACAAUGCUCCUUUAAUGAAAAGACUCACUAUCAGACUGCUUUUUUUUUCCAAAAGCACUUUUACAAAAAAGUUUACCAAACACUCUGCUGAUUUAUUUCACAGCCGCUUAUUCUCACAGCACAGCCGCUUAUUCUCACAACAGUUUUUUUUUAAAGCACAGCAAUACCAAACCAGCCCUUAGUAUUACGAUCUCGUGAUAUUUCUCUUUAUUUUUAAAUAAAAAAUUUUAGGUUCGAUUAUCGCAAAAAACAAAUUUGAACCAUAUUAUUACUAGUCCGUUGUGAAACUUAAUUCACCCACUCCUUAGUGUAGGUAUAUCGUUCGUUCGAAAAAAAAAAAAAAAAAAGAUCCCACAAAGGUUAACAUGCGGCUUGUAAUCAGUAUCGGAAGGAGAGGGGGGAGUGGGGUAGGGUGGAAUGAGAAGCUUCACCCACUCUUCUUAGUGUACAUAUAUUGUUUGUUCGAGAUAAAAAAAAACAGAUCUCACAAAGAUUAACAUGCGGCUUGUAAUCAGUAGCGGAAGGAGAACAUGACCCCAACAACUUUAUAUUAUUACUCCACACAAUUUUGCUAUUAAUCCCCAUAUACCCCAAUAAGAAUUUCCAAUAAUUAGGUUCAGUUUAAGUUUAUGUCUGCAUGCCUUUGAUUUCUGUCAUUUAUCAAAACACACAUUUUUUUUUUGAAAGAUAUCAAAACACUAUUAAUCAAUAAUAUUUCGUAGUGAGUUCAAUCAAUUUGAUUUUCAAAUUAUUAUCAUAGUUUAAUGAUUGAAUUAUUAUUUAAACGUUGAUUAAUGUGCUUAUUUUCUAUUGGUGGCAGAUCAUUUGAUUUUCAAAUUUGUUAUAAUGAAAGUAAGACAAAAUACAUGGAAAAGAAACGGUCGACUUAGUCUUUUAAAAAAAAAAAUUUAUUAUCAUAGUGUUUGGCCCCAAAAUAUUAUUUUGGGCUGAGCCUGGGAUUAUUCUCGGCCCAGUAGAGUUUAUCUAGAAUUUUCUUGUGGGCCGUCCAGUUAAGGUCGGCCAAAUCUUGUUGCGAGGAGGAUUAGUUUAGAUAAGGGUGAAGUAGUCGACUCCUAGUGCAGCAACGAGUCUUAAAGCUAAUCAGGAGAUGAAUCUGAUUUGUUAUGGAGUUUGGUUCAAAGUCAUAUUGGAGCUAGGACUGGCCGAAACCUAAUUAGAUAGGGUUGAGGAGUUCUAAUCCGAGUACAUUUCUAGUUCAGUUACGAGGGGGUUUUGCUGCUAUAAAUAGAGAAAGAAGUGCAUCAUUCAAAACCCUCUCCAAUUCAACACAUAAAAUUGCCCUGCACAAAGUUUCUCAACAACCUUGAGAUUUUAUCUUCUUCCCCUUUCUUCCUGCCAACACAUCUUCAGUUUGGAUAAACAACACUGUGAAGGUAACCGGCGACAUCUUUAGUUUGGAUAAACAACACUGGAGUCAUAGAAUCAACCGAUAAAGGAGCACCUUCAUAUUGGUUAGACAUCACUGCUUUAAGGCCGACUGGUUAUUAUCCAAGUCUCGGUUGACAAGGAUUCUUAAGUCCUUGAUGGUAGAGGUCAUCUAUUAGGCUUGGCACAUUGAACGCCAAGUUUGUUUUAUGAUUGGGUACUCACAGGUACAUUUUAGAGUUCGGCAUUCUGACGACCGAACCACGUUUACCAUCAAGACAUUUAUCUCAUUCGAGUAUUUGUGUCUGUAUAGUCUGGUGCCAGUUCAGCGUGUUUAUACUCUUACAAAUAUAAUCACCAUAAUCGAACCCAGCGUCGACGAUCCGUGAACUUCGUAAGACUAGCAGCCUUAUCUUCAAGCUCUAGAACUCAAAGGCCGAGACGUGUUCCUUUCUCGACUGCAAUCGCAAGAUCGAGAAGUCAGGAGUGCUCUCAAUUUAACAUCAGCAUAUUUUACUCUCCGGUCGAGCUCGGUCGUCGAGUUGGCAUGCCCCGCACAUAACUGAAAGACGUAAUUAGCUCAUUAGUUACUCGGCCUGCGCGCCACGUAGGCUUGGUAGUUUUUAGGGUCAACACAUAAGAAGAGCAGAAUUUUGAACCCAUAAAACAUAGGCGUAAACCCUACACCCUAGCCACUAGGAUAUUAGACCAUAUGCACAAUCGACUCAGUCCCACAUCAAAUGAAGUCCACCGAGGUCAAGCUUCUUAAAAGUUAACUCUGAUGGGUCUAUAGUUGGUGAAAAGACUAUUGCAAAGGUUUGUUAUCAGGGUUUCUUUUCAAUCAAUCUCUUGGAAACAUAUCUUUGGAGAGACCAAUUUCCUUGCAGAUUUUGUCACUAGUGUGGGACUCAAUAUUAGUGAUACUUAUAUACGAGAUCAUACCUCCCUACAAAUGCUAGGCAUGCUCUUAUAUUUGAUCUUUUUGGAACUGGUUGUACUCAACAAUUUUCUGAAGAAAAGAUGCACGGGCCACUAUUUCUCUUAUAUACGCUACGCUAUUUGAAGAUAAUGAUUUGAAUGCCUAUCCCCUACCUAUGCACUUUCCUUUACUACCUUGAAGUGGAUCUCCUAUCUAUAUUCGACAGCUUGAAGAGGGAAGAAGAAGUAAAGCGAAUGCUCGUUCUGUUGGAACUCUCGAUCUGAUCUUGAAACAGGGGAAGGGAGAUCGAUCUCAAUCUCUCGAAUCCUUCUCUCCUUCCCAACGUUAUUUGUCCAAGGGGAAAAGGCUUGCAAACAGUAUUUUUUUGAAAAAAAAAACACUAUGUUUCUUCCUUUGUUACUAUAAUGAAAAUUAUAGUUUGUCAACCAAAACGUAAUUAUAAUUUUAAUUUUGCACGUUAGCGGAAUACAUGUGGCAUGAAAAAAAGUUAGACUGUUAAAAUGAGAAUGUAACUGAGGAUUGAAAGCACUUUAUAGAAAGAAAAUGAAUGAUUAUGCGAUAUUUACUCGUUGCUAGGCCCGAAUUAAACUAGCAUAAUUUCUCCUUUAAAGAAUUGGGCCUCCAUCCUCCCCAGUCUAUGGUACCCCAACUCAAUAAGAAAACAUUAAGAUGUGUUGGACCAAGGUGAUGAAACCCAAAGAUGCCAACCACCAACCAUACGUCUAAUAACGAAGGAAGCUUAAAACAUCUUACAACAUCAUUACUAUUUAAGUCCCCCAAAAUAGGGAUCAUUCAGUAUUAAGGUCUAAUGGUAUUUCUCUUCAUUUGUAAGUGAAAGGUCUUACGUUCGAACCUCGUAAAUGACAAAUUCGAUACCAAAUUAUGUUACCCAUUACGUGGCUUAGCCAAUCUCCUCCCUACCAUAGUGUAAAAUAUAUUGUUGUACUUAUAAAAACAAAAAAGGCCCCCAAAACAGAGAUUUUCGUAUAUGUUAUACACCAAGAUUUUUGUGUAAUUAAAUUAUUGGUCAAAGAUCAAUACUUAAAGAUCCAAUGCUUAGGAUCUAAUGUUAAAAAGACCCAUAGUGUAUUUUUACUCACACCUCUAAAGUAAGGGUUAUGCUCACUCCAUUUUGCUGUUAGAUUAGUUUAAAUUUCAAGAUUCAUGUCCCAAAUCAAUUAAAACAAACUAAUCUAACGGCAAUCCAUGAAGUGUGUUGAUGCACAAAAUCAGUGAUGACUUUGGAACAAUGUAAAGUGUCAAGUUUGUGACCUUCGCUCAGUUGCUCCGGUCACCUAGUAAGGAUAAUAUGUAAAGAGAUAGCGAAAGGGAAGCAAACACAAGAUGUACGUGGUUCACCAUAAAUUUGACUACAUCCAUGAAGUAGAGGAGUUCUCAUUAAUAGUGAAGGGUUUACACAAAUACAUAUGUUCAAGCAUAAUCAUCAUUAGUGAGCUCUAACGACUAGUUUAAGUACAAUAUUGACAUUAGAGAUUCAUUGUAGGAGAAUUGUUUUCUUUUAUAGUUCAGGAGAGUCUUCAACUUUUGUCCGCAGUCGAUGUGGGACUCGAUGAGCUUUAUUCUGAUGUUGACAUGUGUCAUGCUGUGAUUGACCUCCUGGUUGGAGGGAAACUCUUGUGCUUCGGCCGGGGUGCCUCAGUGGAUCCUUGAAACUAUGAAGUAGAUCGAUGCUUGGUAAUUUCGGGAUUGGUCAAGUAUGGUACAAACAGUGGUCCCCUAAGUUCUCGUGUGAGGAAAGCUUUUUGGUUGGGGACUUGAAAAAUCCAAGUCACUAAGUAAUCACGAAACUUCUGAGUACCGAAGUGUAGUAGCAUAUAGUGGGAGUCCCCCAAGUAUCCAAGUGAAGAGGAUAAUCGAAGGAGGUGGCUUGAUAUUCUUGAGUCAUUAGAAAAAAGACUUCAAAAAUUCUAUCCUCAUUUUUUUUUUUAUGAACUUAGCUCAAGUAUAUAUAUUUUUUCUUAAGCCCAAUUCCUUCUUUCUUUUGGUGAGAAAAGAAAAUGUGGUUGAAACCUUUUCCUUUGUGUACAUACCUUGAAUGGUUGAAGUUUUUGCCUUUGGGCACAUAGCUUGAGUGGUUGAAGCUUUGUAGGUGAAACUUUUUUGUUGAAACUUUGUAGGUGAAGCUUUUUCCUUUGGGCACAUAGAUUAAGUGGUUGAAACUUUGUAGGUGAAGCUUUUUGGUUGAACUUUGUGGGUGAAGCUUUGUAGGUGAAUUUUUUUGGUUGAAGCUCUAUAGGUGAAGCCUUUUGGUUGAAGCUUUGUAGGUGAAGCUUUUUGGUUGAAGCUUUGUAGGUGAAACUUUUUGGUUGAGGCUUUGUAGGUGAAACUUUUUGGUUAAAGCUUUUUUUAACCACAUAAAAAGAUUUUGCUUCCACAUUCUUUAGCAAAAGUGUGGAAGGCUUUUUGAAUUUUUUGUUGAAGCUUUCGGUUGAAGAUUUUGGUUGAAGCUUUUUUGAACCACAUAAAUAAAUUUUGCUUCCACACUCUUGAGCAAAAGUGUGGAAGGCUUUUUGAAUUUUUUGUAGUUAGGCAAAGUGUGAAGCUUCCUCCCUUCAAGGUGUGGGAGGCUUCUUCCCUCAAAGUGUGUGAAGGCUUUUUCCCUUUAAGGGUGUGGGAAGCUCUCUCCCUUGGAUGUGGGUAGCUCUUUCCCUUCAAGGGUGUAGGUAGCUAUCUCCCUUCAAGGGUGUGGGUAGCUAUUUCCCUUAGGUGUGAAAAGCUCUCUCCUUUCAAGGGUGUGGGAAGCUCCCUCCCUUCAAAGUGUGGUAAGCUCUACCCUUCAAAGUUGUGGGAACCUUCCUCCCUUCGACGUGUGGGAAACUUCCUUUCCUUCGAAGUAUGGGAAGCUCCCUCCCUUCAAAGGUGUGGGAAGCUUCCUCCCUUCAAAGUGUGGAAAGCUUCCUUCCCUUAAAGUGUGGGAAGCUCCUCCCUUCAAGGGUGUGGGAAGCUCUACCCUUCAAAAUGUGAGAAGCAUUUUAUAAGACUCCAUAAAUUGAUUUUGCUUCUACACUCUUGAGCAAGAAGGCUGAUGAGAUGACCUCUACCAACAAGAACUCGAAAAUCCUUGUUGACCGAGACUUGGAUAAAUAACUAGUCGGUCUUGAAGCAGUGUUGUUUAUCCAAACUGAAUGUGCUCCUUGGUCAUUUGAUUCUACAACUCCAAUGUUGUUUAUCCAAACUGAAGUUGUCACCGGUUGCCUUCACAAUGUUGUUUAUCCAAACUGGAGAUGUGUUGGCGAAAAAAAAAUAAAAAAUAAAAAUCUCAAGGUGUUUGAGAGGUUUACGUAGGGCAAUUGUGUGUUGAAUUGGAUGAGUUGUCCUCAUUGCAGAUUGUCCUAUAUUUAUAAGGGUGAACUUUCACGAUGACCAGAUAACCAAGUUACAGAGUUCUCUGCAAACCAUACCUUGUGAAAUAAUAAUCAUGAACUACCACGCAUUAUCCUUUGAAUUUUGGUGAUAUCGUAAUGUUAAUCAUUGAGAUGCAUUGGACCUUUUAAUCUUCAUUGUACAUCACCAUCUUAAUGUUUCAAACGGACAAAAAUGGCAUAUUCAUAUGCUAAUCAUCCAAAGUUGCAUCCUUGUACCAUUGUUCCACGUGGUUCUGGAUGCAAACCCAUUCAAAUAUGGAAUCCAUGCAACUGACUAGAUACAUUUUGAUUAGGAUAGAAUCCUAAAGCUACACGGAAAGCCCUCACAUAACUCUUCUUACUGCCGUGUUGAUUGUAAGGGGUUGGCAAGUAGCCAGCUAUGCAAUCUCUUUUAAUUUCUCCACAACCCGAUAAAACCUUUGAUUAUCUGCAAAAGGAUCCCACGCAUAACUCUGUAAGCUUUAAUGAUAUUUUCAAGAUAAUUAUUAUGAUUAAAAUCAAUAGUAAUGCCAAGAAAAAUCUCUUAAUUUUCAUAGUCAUCCGACGACCACAAUUGCUUGGGCCGAAAAUGCAAAAUCGGGUCCAAACAACCAUAUAAGACGAUUUUGCUUCCAAACUCUUGAGCAAGAGUGUAGAAGACAAUCUACAUGUUGUAGUUGUUGAAGGGUUGUUGAACCAUAUAAUACGAUUUUUCCUCCACACUCUUGAGCAAGAAUGUGGAAGGCUUUGUUGAGUUUGUAUAUGCCUUUUCCGAAUUCUAAGGCUUGAAAUUUUUCAACUGCUUAUGAAUGUUAAGAAUCCACAGGUGCAUGUUGUACUAUUCUUCCCUAGUUGAUGAAAAGAAGGUAAGUUCUUUCAUCACUUGGUUGGUGAGAAGAGUGGUGAGUUGUUGAGGCAAAAAUGUUUAAUAAAGUACUAGUUGUAUCUUCCACCACUUGGUUGGUGAUAAGAAGGUGAGUUCCUUGAUCACCUAGUUGGUAAGAAGAGUGGCAAGUUGCUGAAUCUCAAUAUUGUUUAUUAGAGUACUGGUUGUGCCCUUCAUCACCUGGUUGGUGAUAUGAAGGUGAGUUCCUUCAUCAUCUGGUUGGUAAGAAGAGUGGCAAGUUGCCAAAACUUAAAAUUGUUUCUUAGAGUAUUGGUUGUACUCUUCAUCACCUGGUUGGUGAAACAAAGAUGAGUGCUUCAUCACCUGGUUGGUGGAAAGAACGGCGAGUUACCAAGGUACAUUGUAGCACGUGCCAAAAGAAAAAAAGUGUAUGUUAACACCCUUUCGUAAUUAUGUAUGAAUGUUUUGGAGGGUAUGAAGUUUAUGUUGAUUGACAUAAGUAAUACUUAUGACAUGAGUGAUGUUCAUGACAUGCAUGUUGUUUAUGAAUGUUUUGCUGUGCAUGAAGGAAUCCAUUGUUUGGAUAUGUGAACCGUGUUGGUUAUACCACUUAGUUUCACUUACUUGGUGUUGAAGUACGUAUGUUGAUGCUUUAAGUUAAAGUAUAGAGGUAGGUUAGAGUUAGACCUAGUGUCCAGUGUUAGGAAUGCAAAAGACUUAGACGAAGUUGUCUGAAUUGCCUCUUCAUUAAAUAUUUUCCAAAUGGCUUGUGUUACAAAGGAUGUCAAACGGUUGAAGGUUGAAACAUUUGUUAUGCGUAUGCCUUUCUAUAAUAGCAUUUUCUUCAGUAUCCAGUCCUCCACUUUGAAAAAACGAUGUUUGACCCCAUGGUCAUAACAGUUGAAGGUACGUUCACCCCUGAUUGUCUUGAAACGAACCUUUAUUCCUCUUGUUGUAAUAAGCUUGUUGAGAGUAAAAAUUCUUCCUUUUGCCAAAAGGCAAAUAAGCCUGGUCACCUGGCAGGUUGCUAAGUGGGGCAGGAGGGGAUGCAAUGAGUGUUUGGAUGGCCAAAACCUUCUCACUUGGUAGAACUUGACAUUUACUCCCUACUUGUUGAUAGGGGUUUACCUUAUGAGGGUUCCCUUGGUAUGUCCUUGCCUCAGCAAAUGCAUGAUUGUAAGCUUGCGUCAUCACCUCAAAGUAAGUCUUCCAAGUGUUAGCAUUGAUCAUCUAAUUGAAGUAGAAUUCACGCAUGCCUACUGUGAAGGCCCUGAAUGUUGUUUUGUCAUCUGCCUCAGCACAACGACAGUACUCGUGGUUAAAGCGACCGACAUAUUCUCGCAAUGACUUGUUUGAUUUUUUACGAAUAGUGUAUAACUCAUUAGCAAAGUGUAAACGAUCAGCUUGGAAGAUAUGUUGAGCCACAAAGAGUCUCCUUAGCUCAGCAAAAGAAUCUAUCGUAUCAGGUUGAAGACCACAAUACCAAUUAAGAGUUCCACCAGAGAGAAUGGAGGGAAAAAUGAGAUAUCGUUCCUCAUCACUAUAUCUUCGAUAUGUUAUGGUGGAUUCAAAGAGGUGGAUAUGUUCAAUUGGAUUUUCUCUCUCUGAAUAAGAUUGCAAGCCAAGCUUCUAUUUUAUUUCUCCUCGUAGAAAAGUGCAAAGGAUCAUUUUUAUCAGAUGGCUUAGCCUUGGCUGAUUCCAGUCAGGUAUCCUAGCGUGACGUUCAGCCUUCAACUUGUUCACUUCCUCAAUGAGCUGCAAGAUAAGGGGGUCCUAAGUGGAGUCGGACAUCAUUAAUGAUUUCUUUUGUAGGUUUCCAUCAUUUCUUGAAAGUAGGGAAGAUCAGUCAAGGACAUCUGGCAUUUCCUUGGACUCAAUAUAUUGGCUAUUCUAAUGUGCUUAUUGAAAGUCCCCUGAGUCUCAUACGCCCUUUUGUUGCCGCAAGGCUUGUCGUUCCUUUCCUAGAUUAGGGGUUGGCCUAUGUUAUAAUAGAGGACUUAGCCCUUCAAUGACCCUUGGGUCUUUGAUCUUUGAGCCUAUAUGGAUAGAAUUUUCUCGACGCUAUCUCAAGAAGUCUCAACAGUCAAGGUAAACGGCUCUCGAUCAUUUUUUUUCUUUUGUAAAAAGAUGUCUUCCUCCAUAUAUUUUGCUUUAGUAUGAAGAAGUUGGGUUGAAAGAAGUCUCGUAUUGAUCGACAUUAUGGCGAAAAGAUCGUUCCUCAUUAAGAACGCCCAUGUUGAAGAUAUGUGAACUCUCGUGUUAGUGGGUACUCAUGUGGUGAUUCACAAUCACAGGGGUGAUAAGCUCGUAAGACUGAGUCUGUUUAGCCUCGUAGAGCAUCUCGAAGAGCUUUUAUAUUGUUCUUGGAAGAUCUCAUUUAUGAUCGCUAUCUUGUUGUUCUAAGCCUCUAGCUCUUCGACCCUGGCUUGAAGAGUAAACUUCUUUCUUUCCUUCCUUCGCCGCCUCACACUAGGAACUAGAGGAUGUUAUUCUGCGUGUUAUGGCUCCCUUCACUCCCCAUGUUGGAAAAUGAUGCCUAAUCAAAGGAGAGUGUACAAACGAUGGAAACCAGCUUGACAAAGCUGGGGAUAGUAGGAAUAAGUGUUGUUCCCACAGACGGUGCCAAAUGUUGAUGCAUAAAAUCAGUGAAGACUUUGGAACAACGUAAAGUGUUAAGUUUGUGACCUUCGCUCGGUUGCUUGGUCACCUAGUGAGGAUAAUAUGUAAAGAGAUAGAGAUAAGGAAGCAAACACAAGAUGUAUGUGGUUCACCCUAAGUUUGGCUACGUCCACGAAGUAGAUGAGUUCUCAUUAAUAGUGAAGAGUUUACAAAAAUACAUAGAUUGAAGCAUAAUCAUCAUUAGUGAGUUCUAAUGACUAGUUUUAGUACAAUAAUGAUAUUAGGGAUUCAUGUAGGAGAAUGGUCUUCUUUUAUAGUUGAUGAGAGUCUUCAGCUUUUGUCUGCGGUCGAUGUGAGACUCUAUGAGCUUUAUUCUGACGUUGACAUGUAUCGUGUUAUGAUUGGCCUUCUGGUUGGAGGAAAACUCUUGUGCUUCGACUGGGGUGCCUUAGCAUGAACCCCUCUGUGGAUCCUUAAAGGUAUAAAGUUGACCGAUGCUUGGUAGUUUCGGGAUUGGUCAAGUAUCGUACAAACAAAGUGUAUAACAGUAAAAAAUCUUAGAACUUUUGCCAAAAGCAUAGGCAAUUGACAAAAUAAAUAUAAGCCUGGAUCAUUUUUUUCCACACUGUAAUCGUGGGUACGAAAGAAGGUUCUCGCUUCUCAGUAGAAUCUGAAAUUACUCCCAUUUUCCCGAAGUCAUAGAGAUGCCAUAAAAUUGAGUUAUAUUCCUCACCGAUGCUAUCAUAGUAUCAUUACAGAAUGGAACCACAUUCUAUUCACAAGUGACAAAGACAAUGCCUUAAAAGGUUUCGCUAAUCUAAAUAACGGUUCAAAAAAUGUUCGUAUGUCAUACGCAUUUGAAUGGCACCGGUGGCAUUCUCGAGCGAUUUACCAUAAAUUAGGAUAAGGUGGAAAAUUAAUAAGUUCCUUAGAUCCAAAAUUUAGAAACCACAAAAUUAGUUUGAUGUCUAGUUUAAGCAAGAUAAGAGUACCAAGUAAUGUGUAAAUUAUGUAAUAUGUCAUCAAUAAAAAAUAAACACGUUAAUUAAUACUUAAUUAAUAAUCUAAUUAUCAACUAGCACAUAAUAUAAUUUACAAAAUAUAAUUUACAUACAUGAUCUCGUAGCAUUACCCAUAAUUUUAAUUUAAUCAUUGGAUGUGCUUUAAUGUGGCUAAAACAGUAAAACUCCUUGCAAGCAAAAGUAACAGCAACCAAAAUGGCGUUUUCUAACAAGCCAUGUCAGCUUCUUGGCCUUACUUCACGUGGCCGAUUUUGAAACGACAACAUUAUCACCGUCGUAUGUACUGCACGACUCGAUAAAAUCCCUAAGAAUGUCGUACAGAACUUGGGCCAUGCUGGGGUCGAAGAGCUCCACGCCAUGAAACCCCUCCUCGUCAAACUUGGCCACCACGUGCGCCCCACGUGACUCAAGUAACGCCACAAACUCUUUCUGCCUAUCCAUCAGCGGGUCCCCACCGUACCCUCUAACCAAACGCCUCGGCAACCGUUCGAUCCUCCCAUCCCCAACUCCCGCCGUCGGAUUACAAUACUCGUGAUCCCGAUCGACUCCCUUUGGCAAAGCCGUGGCCCACAUCAAGUCGUUAACGACCAGCUGGCAAAAUGUCCGAUCGUUGAUCAACCUCAUCUCGGAUUCAGUCCUAUGGACCCCACCGAAAAAAGGCUGGUUUAGUAUCAGCCCUCGGAUCUUCAUCGGCAAGAGAUCAUCCACCUCCGUGGAAGUAGAUGAUGAGAGGGAGGUUGGGGUUUGGAGGGUGGGGUUUGAAGAGCCUGAGGAAGGUUUUGUUUUCUGGGUUUAAGGGAGUGUCCUUGGAGAGGACGAGUUGGGGAGAGUUGGAGUCUGACUCGGCGGCGGUGGCGGGAAUGGACUCGGUGGGGGUGGGAGUUGGGGAGACGGUGGGGAAAGGGGUGAAGCGGGAAGACUGCUGCAGGGAUUGUUCCUAGGGUUUCUUUUCAGUCAAUCUCUUGGAAACAUAUCUUUUUGGAGAGGCCAUUUUCCUUGGAGAUUUUGCCGCGUAAGACUCAAUAUUAGUGAUACUUUUAUAUGGGAUCGCACUCUGUUAUGAGUGAUAGGGCUAGUUUGGUAUUGUAAGUGCUAAGGCUAGUUUGGGAUUGCACCCAUAAAUAUGUCUCAUUGCAAACCUCAUCCCUUCGCUCUUCUCACCCAUCUUUCACUCAAACUCUCCCAUCCCCAAGUUUUAAAAACCCAAACAAAUAAAUAAUGAAAUUUCAAACAAGGCAAGCUUACCAAGAGAAGGGCGCCAAGCCGGGAGAACACAUGUGGCAUGAAAAAAGCACUUUACAGAAAGAAAAUGAAUGAUCAUGCAAUAUUUACACGUUGCUGGGCCCGACUUAAACUAGCUCAGUUUCUCCUUUAAAGAGUUGGGCCUCCAUCCUCCCCAAUCUAUGGUACCCAACUCAAUAAGAAAACAUUAAGAAAUGUUGGACCAAGGCGGUAAAGUAAAAGUGAUGCUCACUCCAUCAUUGAUUGCCGUUAAAUUAGUUUAAAUCUUAAAUCAAUUACACCAAACUAAUCUAACGGCAACUAAUGGGGCGCAUAAGGGUAAAAAAAUCUAGAAUUUUCGCCAAAAACAUAGGCAAUUGACAAAAUAUAUAUAAGCCAGGAUCAUUUUUUUUCACUGUCUAAUCUGGAUAUGAAAGAAAGUUUUCACUAGUCAGUAGAAUCUGAAUUUACUCUCAUUUUCCCUUUUACAAGUCACAGAGAUGCCAUAAAAUUGGGUUGUAUUCCUCACCAAGCCGUCAUGACAGAAUGGAAUCACAUUCUAUUCACAAGUGACAAAGACAAUGCACUUAAAAGGUUUUGCUGAUCUAAGUACCAGUUCAAACAAUGUUCGUAUGUCAUACCGUAUGACUCAUACGUAUUCAAAUGGCACCGGUGACAUUCUCGAGCGAUUUACCAUGGUAAAUUAGGAUAGAAUGAAAUUUAAAAAGUUCAUUGGAUCCAAAAUUUAGAAACCACAAAAUUAGUGUGAUGUCUAGGAAUUGAAGAUUUCCAGCAUCCUAUUCAGCUCAAAAAAAAAAACACUUGCUUCAUUCCUAUGAGCAAUGCAGUUUGAUCACGUAAUGUGUAGUAGUGAUGGGGUGGCCAAAAAACACUUGCGUCAUUUCUCAAAAUAGUACAAAGCACAGCCGAAACACAAGUCUACAAGCAAGUCUCUCUCGUACAUUCCACCACCACAAAAAGCACUAGGCUUCUCAUACAACACUAACAACAGUAAGAGAGAAUUUAAUUCUUCCAAACAGAAUGUGCCAUGGCAAGUGCCUUCGCCCAUGAGCGGUAGG